GUCUGCGUACACACUACCCUCCCCAGACCACACGGUGUGGGAUAAGACUUGGUAUGUUGUUGUUGUUAUUGUUGUAAUCUUUACCUGAAGGUUACUGAUACCAUAAUACUUUAUUAGGCAGUAAUCCUGCAACCUCUAGGUGACAAAGGAAUUGCCAUAAUUGGUGGUGACACAAUCAGAGGAUUCACAUCUUCUGACCAAGCAUGGAUCACAUUGAUCGGAGAGAAGUUAGAUGCUACACUGACAAAAGUUAUUUGACAUUCCUACUAGCAGUGCAAGAUAUAUGUUUCAAGACAUUUAAAUGCAGCAUCUAAAUUCAAGAUUUGCCUAUAAUCAUGUCUUAUUUCAAGGCACAAAGAGUGGCAAUUUGAUUCCAUGAUGGUUUGCUUUGAAAUGAUUUCCCUCGUGAGCUUAAGCUCUGCUGUCUUGUUGGUUGGUGAAAGGAUGAGAUACUGUAGGAGGUAACUUUUUCGUCUUUCCUGUGAGAAAUGGAAGAAGAAUAUGACCCAUAGAAAGCCAUUUCAGAAAUUUUAUUCAGUGUCCUCCUGGACCUCCCUUCUACAAAGGCGUAGUUUUGUUAUUGGCUGUCUUGCAAAAGCAGCAACUAAGAAUCUGCAGUUAAAGCUCAAACUUCUGCUAUGCUGAAUCUAACUAGGCAUACUGAUAAAAAGAUGUCAUCUCUUGAUAUGGUCGAUGAAUAAAUGUAGCAUUUUGUUGCUUAUACAAAAACGGAAGUUGCUUCUUAUAUGUAAUGGAGAUAUUCUCACUUUGAAUCCUUAAGUGUACUCUUGUUCUAAGAACCAUCAACUUUGAUCAUAAAUCUUUGUCAAACUUCAUUUGUUCAUCUCAUUGGCAUUCA